rnacentral:tmRNA from 1 species
GGGGCUGACUGGUUUUGACAGCGAGAUGAAUGUUUGUGUAAGCAAGCCGGGGUUUGAAUAGCACCUCGUCAAAACGUUGUUCAAAUUUUAACUGGCGAAACUUCUUACGCUCUUGCAGCUUAAUCAUCCGAUAGGAGAUUAGGCUUAAUUCCGGUAUUAGAUAUCGGAACAGGACGUCUUCGGUUCGGGUUUGUCUAUCCCCUGAGCUAAUGAAGGCGCGGUCGAUGAUAGAAUAGGAAUAAAGAUGCUUCGGCUUUAAUCCAAAACUUAAGAAGCUAAGUUAUUCUUAGCCUGCCUUUGGGCAGAGAAUAAUCGAAAACCUAAACAAUAGGCUAAGCUUGUAGAAAGCAUUCUCGUUCCUUGUUUGGACGUGGGUUCGACUCCCACCAGCUCCACAA